AGAUGUGAAGGUGAUCUGGUGGUGACUUUUGUCAUGCCAUUGAUCACCAGAAUUGAUUUAGCUGGUCUGGCUGGCUGGCUAGCUGGGUGUCCUCUUCUCCCUCACUGCCUCAUGUGCAUCUCUCUUGAAGCUUUGUGCUUGGUAGAAGAGAUAGAUGAUUAUCCUGAUAGAGGAGGACUGUUUCCUUGGCCAAGUCACUACAAAUAGUUACACUCCCCUGCUAAAACCUCCAAACAAGAUCUCAAAAAGACAUAAAACACACUUAGUCUUCUCUCACAUGUCUCAUUUCAGUCUGUAGUGGCUUAUAUCUAGAU
rnacentral:snRNA from 1 species